rnacentral:rRNA from 1 species
AGGGUUCGAUCAUGGCUCAGGAUGAACGCUGGCGGCGUGCUUAACACAUGCAAGUCGAACGGGGAACCCUUGAAGGAGUUUUCGGACAACUGAUAGGAAUUCCUAGUGGCGGACGGGUGAGUAACGCGUGAGGAACCUGCCUUGGAGUGGGGAAUAACACAGAGAAAUCUGUGCUAAUACCGCAUGAUGCAGUUGGGUCGCAUGGCUCUGACUGCCAAAGAUUUAUCGCUCUGAGAUGGCCUCGCGUCUGAUUAGCUAGUAGGCGGGGUAACGGCCCACCUAGGCGACGAUCAGUAGCCGGACUGAGAGGUUGGCCGGCCACAUUGGGACUGAGACACGGCCCAG